rnacentral:rRNA from 1 species
CAUAUGCUUGUCUCAAAGAUUAAGCCAUGCAUGUCUAAGAAUAAGUCCUCAGAAUGACUAGUCUGCGAAUGGCUCAUUAAAUCAGUUAUUGUUUAUUUGAUGUGUGUAAAAGUGCAUUUAUGCAUUACAUGGAUAACCGUAGUAAUUCUAGAGCUAAUACAUAUAAACCAAAGCCUUUGGAAAAAUUUAUUUUUUUUCAGGGGUUGCAUUUAUUAGAUGUAAAACCGAUUGACUUGAAUUUAUUCAAGUGUUUAAGCGAAAUGGUGAUUCAUGAUAACUAAGCGAAUCGAAUUAAAGAAAUUUGGAAGGUCUCUCACGGCCUUUCAAGUUUUUUCGAUGCUUCAUUCAAAUUUCUGCCCUAUCAGCUUUCGAUGGUAGGAUAUUGGCCUACCAUGGCGAUAACGGGUAACGGGGAAUCAGGGUUCGAUUCCGGAGAGGGAGCUUGAGAAAUGGCUACCACAUCCAAGGAUGGCAGCAGGCGCGCAAAUUACCCAAUCCCAAUACGGGGAGGUAGUGACAAUAAAUAACAAUGUUGGAAUAUUUUAAAAAUUCCAACAAUUGGAAUGAGAGUAAUUUAGACCUCUUCUCGAGGAACCAUUGGAGGGCAAGUCUGGUGCCAGCAGCCGCGGUAAUUCCAGCUCCCAUAGCGUAUGUUAAAGUUGUUGCAGUUAAAAAGCUCGUAGUCUAAAUUCAAAGUCUUUAUGGAAAUGUUGUCUCUUUCUUUUGUGUGAUUUGGUUUUUUCUUUUUUGGAAUUUUUUUCCAAGAUUUUUAGAUUAAACCCCAUAUUGAAUUAGACAUCCUUUGCUUGUACUUUGGAAAACUUUAUUCAUAAUUUGCUGCAAUUUAUGAGUAAAUUCAGUGUUCCAAUUGUUUACUUUGAGAAAACUAGAGUGUUCAAAGCAGGCGAAAUUAAAAUUUCUCUCGCAACUGAAUACAUUAGCAUGGGAUAAUAGAAUAGGACAUUGGGGAGAGGAUUUCUCUAUAUAUUUCACUUUUUGUGAAGUAUGUGUUAAAAGAGCCUCUUCUUUGGUCCUAUUAUGUUUUUGAUCGGUGGUUCAAGACCAAUGUAAUGAUUAAUAGGAACGGUGGGGACAUUCAUAUUGCAUGGCUAGAGGUGAAAUUCUUGGAUUCAUGCAAGAUGAACUGCUGCGAAAGCGUUUGUCAAAGACGUUUUCAUUGAUCAAGAACGAAAGUUAGGGGAGCAAAGACGAUCAGAUACCGUCGUAGUCCUAACUAUAAACGAUGCCGACUAGGGAUCGGUGGGCGUUAAUAUAAAAUUGUUAGAGUCUAGCUUUUUUGUAAGAAUUCUUUUCUUUCAAAAGAGCUUUUCUAACAAGAAAUGACCCCAUCGGCACCUCAAUUUGAUACUUCUCAAUGGGAAACCAAAGUUUUUGGGUUCCGGGGGGAGUAUGGUCGCAAGGCUGAAACUUAAAGGAAUUGACGGAAGGGCACCACCAGGAGUGGAGUUUGCGGCUUAAUUUGACUCAACACGGGAAAACUCACCAGGCCCAGACAUGGUAAGGAUUGACAGAUUGAGAGCUCUUUCUUGAUUCCAUGAAAGGUGGCGCAUGGCCGCUCUUAGUUGGUGGAGUGAUUUGUCUGGUUAAUUCCGUUAACGGACGAGACCUUGGCCUGCUAACUAGGGGGGGUUAUCGUUUGGAUGAGUUUAAUAGAGUUAGUGAGGUUUUGGUUUUACCUUUCGGGGUAAUUCUAAGCCUUCUGACUGUUAUUGCUUGUUCAUAUUUUGCGAUAGCACCUAAGAUUUAAAAAAUCCUUCAACCCUUCUUUGGCUUAAGGGGAAGAGAGAUUGAGGAUUUUUUUGGAUUUAUUUUCAGAUUAGUCUUUUCUUUCUCACUUAAAUCUUUUCUUUUUGUUGGAGAAGGAAAAAUCCUUCUUAGAGGGACUAUCUGCGUUUUUACAACUAGCAGAUGGAAGCUCGAGGCAAUAACAGGUCUGUGAUGCCCUUAGAUGUCCUGGGCUGCACGCGUACUACACUGACGAAUUCAACAAGUGAUUAAAUUUGGUGAUGGUUACUUGCUUGUUUUCUCCUUCGGGAGGGAAUAGGGAAAGGACUAUCAAAAACCUUGGCAGAAAUGUCUGGGUAAUCUCUUCAAAGUUCGUCGUGCUAGGGAUAGAUGAUUGUAAUUAUUCGUUUUGAACGAGGAAAUCCUAGUAAGUGUG